rnacentral:rRNA from 1 species
CCUACGGGAGGCAGCAGUGGGGAAUAUUGGACAAUGGGCGAAAGCCUGAUCCAGCCAUGCCGCGUGUGUGAAGAAGGCCUUCGGGUUGUAAAGCACUUUCAGUGGGGAAGAAAGCCUUGGGGCUAAUACCCUCGAGGAAGGACAUCACCCACAGAAGAAGCACCGGCUAACUCCGUGCCAGCAGCCGCGGUAAUACGGAGGGUGCGAGCGUUAAUCGGAAUUACUGGGCGUAAAGCGCGCGUAGGCGGUCUGAUAAGCCGGUUGUGAAAGCCCCGGGCUCAACCUGGGAACGGCAUCCGGAACUGUCAGGCUAGAGUGCAGGAGAGGAAGGUAGAAUUCCCGGUGUAGCGGUGAAAUGCGUAGAGAUCGGGAGGAAUACCAGUGGCGAAGGCGGCCUUCUGGACUGACACUGACGCUGAGGUGCGAAAGCGUGGGUAGCAAACAGGAUUAGAUACCCGUGUAGCC